ACCUGGCUGGCUCAGUCAGUAGAGCACAUGACUCUUGAUCUCAGGGUCAUGAGUUUGAGCCUCAUGUUGGGCA
rnacentral:tRNA from 1 species